ensembl:lncRNA
CUUUCUUUCUUUCUUUCUUUCUUUCUUUCUUUUUCUUUCUUUCUCUCAUUAAUACUGUGUAUUGGUUCCAAGGCAGAAGAGCAGAAAGGGGUAGGCAAUUAGGGCUACGUGACUUGCCCUGGGUCACACAGCUAGGAAAUGUCUGAGGUCACAGUUGAACCCAGGACCUCCCAUCUCUAGGCCUGGCUCUAGAUCCACAGAGUCAUCUAGCUGUCCUCCCUCAACCCCCCUUUGCUUUCUUUCCCUUAUCCUUCUUCAUUUCCCUAGUUAGAGCUAUUUAGUCUUGGGAACCCAUAUCCCCUUCCUUUAUCAGAGGCUGAGCUGAGUGAGUUGGAGAUAGAUUGUUCCACUGAUUGGCAUGAAAGCUGGCCAAGAGUGACUCGGCUCUUCCUGCCCCUUGGCCGGUUUCCUUCCUUGGGACAGCUUGUUUCCCUCCAGGCCUUGGCUGGAGACUACAAUGAAGCUGGAUGCCUCCCCCACCCCCCUGGACUCAUGAAUAUGCUGGAGGGAGGGGUCACCAUGGCAACCAGGAAAGCCUUCCCCGCCCAACCAAACAGCUCUUUUCAUUUCUUGGCUGAGGCUCUAAAAAGUGUGAUGGGGCACGUAUGUCUACGCAGGCUCUGCGUGAGGACGGAAAGACCCCCAGGCUCAAAACCUACGUGCCGUCCUCUCUUCCUUUCGUUGGGGAAACUGAGGCCCAGAGAGAGUCAAGGUAUGCCACAAGGAAGAGACAGGACCUCAGUAAUAUGCUUUUGCAUGGAGUAUUCUUUGUUUUCCACUCAUGUAACUGGUCUGUGGCAGAUCCAGAACUCUUAUCUAGAAUUCCAAAUCUAGUCCAAUAGGCAAUAUACUGAAUGUACAUUCCUAGUAUAAGGGCACAUGUUUGCCUAUAUGUCUGCCUGGGUCCCCCAAACUAUAUUCUGAAGAAUCCUGGUAUUCUUCAACAUUCAAUUGGUAAUUUCAUAAGAAAAUUUCAAUGCUAAUAAUCUAUCUCCAAGGAGUCUUAAUUCCUGCCUCCAAACUCUGAUGGAAAGAUGGGGAUGGGGUAUGGAAAAGACUGAACUAGAUUUUAACUCUUGCUCCUGUGUACUAGAGAGGAAGGUUCAUCCUGGGACAAUCAGAAAGCAUUCUCAGCUGUCAGGAGGUUUCCACCCCGCCUCUCCCUUUUAUUCAUCCUCACUCAAAAAAUAUUAUGCCUAAAAAAAUGAGAGUCCCUGAAACCUUGAUCUCCAUUUUAUGGGUUAUUUUCACAACCCCCUGCCCUCUUUCUGCAUAGUAACUUUGGCCUUAGCCAAUGCCAAGCACUGUAGCCUGGAGGGAAGAUUCUCUGUUUAUGGGUCCCAUCAAUAUAUUUCAAGUCCCAGAAUGUUCCUUGGCCAAAUUAGUUUGGGAAACGCUGACAUAUAAGAUAGUGUCUAUCUAUGAAGUAUGCCUAGGAUUCUACAGCCUGAUGUGUGUGUAUGGUUAUGUGUACAUGUAGGCAUGAUGACUUGUGCUCGAGAAUGGCAGGAAAGAUAUCACCUGGGAAAUGUAUGAUCAGGAAAGAAUUGGUCAUGUAUCAAGAGGGAGAGGUAACAAAUGGACAGCUCCCGUGUGGUACUAGUACUCAGAAAUGUUAAAAGACCUAAUGGAAACAGAGGAUCCUAGCUCUAGAGCUGAAAAGGGUACCAGAGGCUCUCUAGACCAAUCCUCUCAUUUUACAUAUGGGUAAACAGAGGCUCAGGGAAGUUACAUGACUUGGCCCAUGGCCACACAGGUAGUGAGCAGCAAGCAGAAUAGAAAUUAGUAAUUGGUUCUAGAUUCAGGGCUUAUUCCCAUAUUGUCCCAAAUGUUU